AGAAUAGAAAGGGGUAAAGUGAUAUCGAGUCAAAGUAAAAGGGGAGAAAGUGGAAUUUACCCAACUAUUUAACAUGUACAUAAUUGUACAACUAUAUAUGCUGAGCGGUUUAAGUUUAAGUUUGCAUUUGCAUUUAUGUAAAAUUAAUUUAUGUAUAACAACCGUGUUUGCAUUUUUCUUGUGAAACUCCUCAAAGCAUCUAGAAUUUCCAGCAAUGCCAUCAGCCUUGGAGCUACUUCCAACCCUGUCAAGUACAUUGAAUUUGAAGAAUUGAAAAAGGCGACGGGAAACUUUCGAUCGUACUCGGAUUUAGGGGAAGGAGCGUUUGGUCAUUUUUCAAAAGGAUGGAUUAAUGAGAACACUCUUACUGCUUCGAAACCUGGAUUCGGAACAGCUGUUGCCGUCAAGAAAUGGAAAGGACUUGAAGGCUUAAACGACUGUUUGGUGUGUUUUACGAUCCUUUGGUUUUCCAUUAUAAUUUUUCUUCUGCUUCAUUGUUUUACCAACAACUACUUUUUACCUUGUACAGUACAUAGAAUUUGAAGAACUGAAGAAGAAGGGGACGAAAAACAUUCGAUCUUACUUGGAUAUAGGGGAAGGGCGGUUUAGUAAUUUUCGUAGAGGAUGGAUUGAUAAGCACAUUCUUACUGCUUCGAAACCUGGAUUUCAAUCGGCAGUGGCUGUCAAGAUGUUUAAAAGAUUUGAAGGAGGCUUUAAUGGCUGUUUGGUAUGUUUUUCCUUUAAUUAAUUUUCAUAAUAAUAAUAAUAGUUUGCUUGUGUGCCAAGUCAUGCUUUUACCAACCGGCCACUACAUAUUGCGCAGAACGAGAUCGGCUAUUUGAGUCGAUUUCGUCAUCCAAACAUAGUUAAACUCAUUGGAUAUUGCUAUGAAGAUGACAUCAUUUUGGUAUAUGAAUUCAUUCCCAAAGGAAGCUUGGACCGUCAUUUAUUCCGAGGUAAUAAAUUGUUAUUUUGAUGACUUACUUAUAUGACUAUGUUUAUAAACAUUGAUUAUUGCCCCCCGUGACAUAGGAUCACUUGAUCAAACACUGCCUUGGGCGACAAGAAUCAAAGUGGCUGUUGGUGCUGCUCGAGCACUAGCUUUCUUGUACUACAAUAAAAACCCAAUUGUACACCAAAGUUUUAAUACCGCUGACAUUCUUCUGGAUGGGGAAUUUAACGCGAAAUUGUGUAACUUUGGUUUGGCUACUGAUGUUUCCGACAGCGACAUUGAAUGUGUUGCAACAGGUGCUCACUUAAAAGAACAAUCGGAUGUGUAUAAAUUUGGGGUCUUUUUGGUGGAUUUAUUAUCCGGGAGGAGCAGAAACAGGUCUAUUUAUAACGACUACUAUCAUACUUCCGUAGAUUGGGCAAAACCAUAUUUGGGUGACGACAGAAAAUUUGCGAGGAUUAUGGACCCCAAACUAAAGGGUCAAUUCCCUCAUAACGCAGCAUUUACUGUUGCAACAAUUGCUCUGCAGUGCCUAAACGAAAUACCAAAGAUGGCUGAGGUUUUAGUUUCCUUGGAACAACUCUAAGUUUUCGAAAGCGUCAGCUAUUUAUUAUGGACUAAAACAAAUGAAUGUUCACCUUUUCACAUUUUUAUUUUAAAUUAAAGAGGUGCACGUGUGUUGCACGUGUCGAGCAAUGUUCCAUUUA